UGAGGAACAUGACCUUCGGCGGGGGAUAGCCGGCCCAACGGCCGGGUAAUACCGCGUACGACCUUUCGGGGACAUCCCCGGAUGGUGAAAGCAGCAAUGCGCCGAUGGAGUGCCUCGCGACCUAUCAGCUAGUUGGUGGGGUAAUGGCCUACCAAGGCGACGACGGGUAGCUGGUCUGAGAGGAUGGCCAGCCACAUUGGGACUGAGACACGGCCCAGACCUCCGUACGGGAGG
rnacentral:rRNA from 1 species